rnacentral:rRNA from 1 species
UACGUAGGGUGCAAGCGUUGUCCGGAAUUAUUGGGCGUAAAGAGCUCGUAGGCGGUUCGUCACGUCGGCUGUGAAAUCCCGAGGCUCAACCUCGGGUCUGCAGUCGAUACGGGCGGACUGGAGUACUGCAGGGGAGACUGGAAUUCCUGGUGUAGCGGUGAAAUGCGCAGAUAUCAGGAGGAACACCGGUGGUGCAAACGGCUUUCUGGACCGUAACUGACGCUGAGACACGAAAGCGUGGGGAGCAAACAGG